rnacentral:rRNA from 1 species
GCCCACCGUAAAAAAUUAACUUACAACAACCGGCGCCAGGGAAUUACGAGCGAUGCUUAAAACCCAAAGGACUUGACGGUGUUCCACCCCCCUAGAGGAGCCUGUUUUGUAAUCGAUGAUCCCCGCUACACCCCACCAUUUCUAGCUCUUCAGCCUGUAUACCUCCGUCGAAAGCCUACCAUGUGAACGUAUUUCAGUAGGCCCAAUGACCCCCGUCAAUAUGUCAGGUCAAGGUGCAGCUCACGAAAUGGCAGCUAAUGGGCUACAAUUUCUAGUUUAGAACAAACGAAAUACUAUGUGAAAUCAUAGUCAUGAAGGCGGAUUUAGCAGUAAAAAGAAAAUAGAGAGUUCUUUUUAACCCGGCCCUGGAACGUGUACAAACCGCCCGUCACCCUCUUCGAUAAAACUUCUCCCAGUAUAUAACCCCACACUCCUACUUUAGAAGAGGCAAGUCGUAACAUGGUAAGUGUACUGGAAGGUGCAUUGGACUACUACAAAAUGUAGCUUAA